AUGUCCAUCUUUGCCUUGGAGCUUUUUUGGCAAGAAGGUAAAGAAACAACAAGCUGGAGGAUAUUCUGGAGCCCUCUGCGGUGUGGAGGACAAGGCUGGCUGCCCUCAUCUCUGCAAAUGAGAAUGGUGUUCCCUGGAGAUUCCCUGGCAAGGCUGAGAUCCAUCACAAAACUUAUCAUGGACACCUUUGCCCUACCCACGAAUUGUCAAGCAGGAGGGAAAAGAAUGGGUUAGUGUUGGAAAGUGAGAGCCAUUGGAGAUGGAGGGCCUGAUAGAUCAUCCAGGUUCUGGAGGGCAGAGGAUGGGACAUGGCUAGGU
rnacentral:lncRNA from 1 species